rnacentral:misc_RNA from 1 species
CGUAGGUGAACCUGCGGAAGGAUCAUUCAUAAUAAGUGUUUUAUGGCACUUUUUUAAAUCCAUAUCCACCUUGUGUGCAAUGUCAGGGUCGAUUUUUCUCUCGAGAGGAUCAGCCCCAAACAUCAACUAUAUCUCAACUCUUUGUCUGAAAAAUAUUAUGAAUAAAACAAUUCAAAACACAACUUUCAACAACGGAUCUCUUGGCUCUC